CAGCAUCCCAGAGUGCUAGGAUGAUAGGCGUGAGCCAAUCCUUGUGUCUUCUGUCUGUCUUUGUGGCAACCCAGAUUGAAAUGGGGAAUAAUCU
rnacentral:snoRNA from 1 species